GUCCUCCUAAUCUUAACUGUUUUUAAUACCUAUAAUGUUGAAAUUUUGCUUUCUCUAUUUAAUUAGAGUAUUUUUUAAGAUAUCACCGUAAUUCGGUCUUAAAUUUCGAUGAAAUAUAGUUUUUUAGUGAUAUUCUCCAAGCAAAAGGGUGAACUUUUGUAAACCAUUCUAUUUUUUAUAAUAAAAAUGAUAAUUUGCUUUGCCCCGGACUGUAAACACUAUAAUGAAAGAUGGUUAUGUAGAUUCUUUAUGUUUACAAAGGAUCUAGUUGAAAAAAAGAGGUAGAUUUCAUUACUAAGUAAGAAAAUAUAGUGAUAGUAAAGAACUGAAUUUAUCCCUUUAUUACUAUUGACUCACAGACGGAAAGAUAGGGAACCAUUCUUUAGUUUGCUGGUGCCACUUUGUGAAUUCUGACCAACAAAAUGACCCAACAUUUUUAGAGCAUAUCAAGCCAAAGGUUUUUUUGAUGGACAAUUAACCUUUACAUCUAAAUUAAAAGAGUAAAGUAUAUUUUGCUUCUUGAAAUGGCAUUCAAUAUCAACUUGAGAAAGAAACAGUUUGAUUUGUUGGUAAUGACCGAAGAUGAAAUCCAAGAACUUAUGGAUUCUGUUGAAACUGAUUGGAAAAAAGCAAAACAUCCCAUUGAUGACAUUCGCGGUGACAGUAUUGAUCACUUUCCACUUUAGCUCAGCAAAGAGGAUGGUAAAAAAAUGUAAAUUUUGCAAUGUGUUGAAAAUUCAAUGUAUGUGUAGCAAAUGUGAUAUUCAUUUAUGUUGUUCUAAUGCCAGAGACUGUUUUUAUAAUUGUCCCAUAAAAAUAGUUUACACCUAUUCUGUUCUGUUUGUUUAUUUUAGUAAAAACCGCUCAAAUCAAUGUUCCGGUCAACCUUUAUAUUUUUCACUUAAACCGGCAAGGGGCACCUGAGGACCCCUUUACUUGAUUUUACCUGGGAGCCAAACAAAAAUUGAUAAUUAAAUUUUAAUAGCAUUUCUAGGUUUCUAAAUACAUUAUUAAACUUGAAAAAUAUACCCAGCUAAAUAGAAUAAUUUUUAGAAUCUUGCCAGUUAGAGGGUUAAUAAAAAUACCUACCUAGUCAUUGUCUGUUGUAUAUUGAUCUUAGGUAAAUUCUUUUGCUCAUAUAAAUACCAUGCUGGUCCCAUUCAGGUUCAUUUGUAGACUCAAAGUAGGUGAAACCUAAAGAGACCUAGUUAGCAGCCAGGAGAAGGGCAUGGCUCUAACCCUCAACAAUGAGCAUUGCAGAAAAUUAACAGUUCCCUAGGUAACCAUCCACUGAAAAUCUUAGAAGAAUAAUAGAGCCCCCAAGGCAACCAUAAGAGUAAUUGUUGACAUUACCGCAGUUCAUCAGGUAACCAUAUUGUCUUAUUUGGACCUACCAUCUGACCCCUACUGAAGAUCGUAAAGAACUCAAGACAGCACCUUAAGAAGCCUUCAGACCAUCAGCUAAGAUCCUUAAUAAAAUAUAUAGCUGGCCUGUAAACAUAGACAGACUAUUUUUAUAUAAAGUAACAUCAUAAAUUCUAAAAUGUAGAUCUUGAAUUGUGACCAUAAUAAAAUGAGAAAAUAAAGCAUUUAUACUGAA
rnacentral:lncRNA from 1 species